AAACUCUGGAAAGCUGGCGUUCGCGUCACACCGAAGGGGAAAGCUGGCCAAACCACGCCGGUCAAUCUCUCAGGUACUCCGACAGAGGGGG
rnacentral:ncRNA from 1 species